rnacentral:rRNA from 1 species
ACGGAGGGUGCAAGCGUUAUCCGGAAUCAUUGGGUUUAAAGGGUGCGCAGGCGGGGCUUUAAGUCAGUGGUGAAAUCCCUUCGCUUAACGAAGGAACUGCCAUUGAUACUGAAGCUCUUGAAUUUAGUUGGCGUGGGCGGAAUGUGCCAUGUAGCGGUGAAAUGCUUAGAUAUGGCACAGAACACCGAUCGCGAAGGCAGCUCACGAAACUAAUAUUGACGCUCAGGCACGAAAGCAUGGGGAGCAAACAGGA